AUUGUUCUUACAAGGAGUGAUGGAAGUGGUAUAAAGGGCAAAAAAUUAGAGGUACCUUCAGGGAAUCCUGGAAUGAGAAGAUUUCUUGCAAUAGAAAAUGUGGCAUCAACGAUAGAUGUAGAUAGGGAAGAAAUUUGAAAUAGUAGAUGGGAGACGAGGCAUUGUCAUGAUAGUGAAGGCCAAUCUUUAAUCAUCAUUCAGCUUAUUAAUUCAAAGAUUCGUUACAGGUAUAGUAGUCUGCAAGUCAGCUGUUAAGAAAUUUUGAACAAAGAGAAGAAUAUCAUUUACUCCAACGAUAUAGAAACCCCUCUUUUGCAGGAGCUUGAAAAGCUACUCUGCAAUUAAGCAUGGUGGAAACAAGAUUUCUUUCUUCAACACCAUAACGUCAUAUUUUCCAGAUACUCUACAGCUUAUGACUGGUAAAAAUGCUCUACGAGAAUGGCCCACAAUUGAGAAAUUACAGUGGUAGAAUGAAACGUAAAUACUAAUGCUAAACUGCAGAGAGCUGGGAGAGAUCUAUCAAUCAGCUAUAUGCCACUAGCUAGCUAUCUUUCUAAGAAUAAACCUA
rnacentral:misc_RNA from 1 species